rnacentral:rRNA from 1 species
GACGAACGCUGGCGGCGUGCUUAACACAUGCAAGUCGAACGGAAAGGCCCUGCUUUUGUGGGGUGCUCGAGUGGCGAACGGGUGAGUAACACGUGAGUAACCUGCCCUUGACUUUGGGAUAACUUCAGGAAACUGGGGCUAAUACCGGAUAGGAGCUCCUGCUGCAUGGUGGGGGUGGGUAAGAUUCGGCGGUUGGGGAUGGACUCGCGGCUUAUCAGCUUGUUGGUGGGGUAGUGGCUUACCAAGGCUUUGACGGGUAGCCGGCCUGAGAGGGUGACCGGCCACAUUGGGCUUGAGAUACGGCCCAGACUGCUACGGGAGGCAGGAGUGGAGAAUAGUGCACAAUGGGCGGAAGCAUGAUGCAGCCACGCCGCGUGCGGGAUGACGGCCUUCGGGUUGUAAACCGCUUUCGCCUGUGACGAAGCGUGAGUGACGGUAAUGGGUAAAGAAGCACCGGCUAACUACGUG